rnacentral:rRNA from 1 species
UACGAAGGGGGCUAGCGUUGCUCGGAAUCACUGGGCGUAAAGGGUGCGUAGGCGGGUCUUUUAAGUCAGGGGUGAAAUCCUGGAGCUCAACUCCAGAACUGCCUUUGAUACUGAUGAUCUUGAGUUCGGGAGAGGUGAGUGGAACUGCGAGUGUAGAGGUGAAAUUCGUAGAUAUUCGCAAGAACACCAGUGGCGAAGGCGGCUCACUGGCCCGAUACUGACGCUGAGGCACGAAAGCGUGGGUAGCAAACAGG